rnacentral:rRNA from 1 species
UCCGUAGGGUGCGAUCGUUAAUCGGAAUUACUGGGCGUAAAGCGUGCGCAGGCGGUUCGCUAAGACAGAUGUGAAAUCCCCGGGCUUAACCUGGGAACUGCGUUUGUGACUGGCGGGCUGGAGUGCGGAAGAGGGAGGUGGAAUUCCACGUGUAGCAGUGAAAUGCGUAGAGAUGUGGAGGAACACCGAUGGCGAAGGCAGCCUCCUGGUCUAGCACUGACGCUCAUGCACGAAAGCGUGGGGAGCAAGCAGG